rnacentral:piRNA from 1 species
UGUAUUAAUGGCUAUAUUGAU